UCUGGAUUAAAUCUGUCUAAGAAUUUCUUAGAUCCUAAGGAAUUAAUGGAAUUAUUAAAAUCUAGAGAUUAUGAAAGGUGAGUUUUUAAUUUUAGAAAGAUUUAAUUUGUAGCUUUGAAUUAUUCACAUAGACUUGAAUAUUUUGUUUUCUAUAGGGAAAUAAAAGGAUCAAGAGAGAAGGUCAUUAGUGAUAAAGAUCUAGAGUUGUUGUUAGAUCGAAGUGAUCUUAUUGAUCAAAUGAAUGCUUCAGGACCAAUUAAAGAGAAGAUGGGGAUAUUCAAGAUAUUAGAAAAUUCUGAAGAUUCCAGUCCUGAAUGUUUGUUUUAAAGUGGAGCUCAAGAAUAGCUUUUAAAAGUUCUUGUUUACGUCUAGUGAUUUCCCUGUAUUGGGUUUGAAAUACUGAUUGUCCACUUCACCUUUUUUAUUAUAUCAGUUGACAUGUAACUAGUACCAUGCGUACUUAAAUAGAUGGUAAUUUUCUGAGCCUUACCAAGAACAAAGAAGUAUCCAUAUUAAGUUUAGAUUUUCAGUUAAUUUUUGAGACUGAGUAGUAUUCUUGGAUACAGGCUGAUGUGUACUUAACCACUUCCAGAUUUAUACAGUCUUCCUGUGGAAGUUUAGUAAAUGUCUUUUUCCCUCCUUUCUUCUAGUAAUGCAGUUCAUGGGCUUUAGGUAC
rnacentral:sRNA from 1 species